rnacentral:rRNA from 1 species
GGAGCUUGCUCCCUGGGUGGCGAGUGGCGGACGGGUGAGGAAUACAUCGGAAUCUGCCUAUACGUGGGGGAUAACGUAGGGAAACUUACGCUAAUACCGCAUACGACCUACGGGUGAAAGCGGGGGAUCGCAAGACCUCGCGCGGAUAGAUGAGCCGAUGUCCGAUUAGCUAGUUGGCGGGGUAAUGGCCCACCAAGGCGACGAUCGGUAGCUGGUCUGAGAGGAUGAUCAGCCACACUGGAACUGAGACACGGUCCAGACUCCUACGGGAGGCAGCAGUGGGGAAUAUUGGACAAUGGGCGCAAGCCUGAUCCAGCCAUGCCGCGUGGGUGAAGAAGGCCUUCGGGUUGUAAAGCCCUUUUGUUGGGAAAGAAAACUUUCCGAUUAAUACCCGGAGAGAAUGACGGUACCCAAAGAAUAAGCACCGGCUAACUUCGUGCCAGCAGCCGCGGUAAUACGAAGGGUGCAAGCGUUACUCGGAAUUACUGGGCGUAAAGCGUGCGUAGGUGGUUCGUUAAGUCUGAUGUGAAAGCCCUGGGCUCAACCUGGGAAUUGCAUUGGAUACUGGCGGGCUAGAGUACGGUAGAGGGUAGUGGAAUUCCUGGUGUAGCAGUGAAAUGCGUAGAGAUCAGGAGGAACAUCCGUGGCGAAGGCGACUACCUGGACCAGUACUGACACUGAGGCACGAAAGCGUGGGGAGCAAACAGGAUUA